rnacentral:rRNA from 1 species
UACGGAGGAUCCAAGCGUUAUCCGGAAUCAUUGGGUUUAAAGGGUCCGUAGGCGGUUUGGUAAGUCAGUGGUGAAAGCCCAUCGCUCAACGGUGGAACGGCCAUUGAUACUGCUAGACUUGAAUUAUUAGGAAGUAACUAGAAUGUGUAGUGUAGCGGUGAAAUGCUUAGAGAUUACAUGGAAUACCAAUUGCGAAGGCAGGUUACUACUAAUGGAUUGACGCUGAUGGACGAAAGCGUGGGUAGCGAACAGG